rnacentral:rRNA from 1 species
UACCCGAUAGAACAUUAUGCCUGGAACGGUUAAUGUUUCAAAUAAUUUAUUGCCGUAGGAUGGGACUGCGGCCUAUCAGUUUGUUGGUGAGGUAAUGGCCCACCAAGACUAUUACAGGUACGGGCUCUGAGAGGAGUAGCCCGGAGAUGGGUACUGAGACACGGACCCAGGCCCUAUGGGGCGCAGCAGGCGAGAAAACUUUGCAAUGUGCGAAAGCACGACAAGGUUAAUCCGAGUGGUUUCUGCUAAAGGAACCUUUUGCCAGUUGAAACAGCUUGACGAAUAAGGGGUGGGUAAGACAAGUGCCAGCCGCCGCGGUAAUACUUGCGCCUCGAGUGGUAUCCGUAAUUAGUUGGUCUAAAGCGUCCGUAGCCGGUCUAAUAAGUUCUUGGUGAAAUUCAUUGGAAAACUGGUGAGCUUGCCGAGAAUACUGUUGGACUUGGGAUCGGGAGAGGGUAGAGGUACUGCUGGGGAAGGGGUAAAAUCCUAUAAUCCCAGUGGGACCACCUGUGGCGAAGGCGUCUGCCUAGAACGAGUCCGACGGUGAGGGACGAAACCUAAGGUAGCGAUCGGGAUUAGAUACCCCGGUAGUCUUAGGUGUAAACGAUGCCCACUUGGUGUUACAAACCUUACGAGGGUUUGUAGUGCCGGAGCGUAGGUGUUAAGUGGGCCACCUGGGGAGUACGACCGCAAGGUUGAAACUUAAGGGAAUUGGCGGGGGAGCUCACAAGGAGUGGAGGCUACGGUUCAAUUGGA